AUUACACACCACCUGAGCUGAGGAAUCUCAUCAACAAGCAGGAUGAAGAUGUGCUGAGCUACGUGGUUGGCUUGGAGGUCAAGGAGCUGAGCUGUGGCCAGGGACACUGCAGAAUACGCUUUUGCUUCUGGCAGAACCCCUACUUCCGCAAUGAUGAGAUCUGCAAGGAUUACUGUCGCAGCGUGCGUGGAUACAGGGCUGUACGUUCCAGCGCAAUCCAGUGGUUCUGUGACUGUGACGGUGAGCCACCCGCCUACAGCCCGGGC